UACGGAGGGUGCAAGCGUUAUCCGGAUUCACUGGGUUUAAAGGGUGCGUAGGUGGACAGGUAAGUCAGUGGUGAAAAUCCCCCGAGCUUAACUCGGGAACUGCCGUUGAUACUAUCUGUCUUGAAUAUCGCGGAGGUAAGCGGAAUAUGUCAUGUAGCGGUGAAAUGCUUAGAUAUGACAUAGAACACCGAUUGCGAAGGCAGCUUACUACACGAUCAUUGACACUGAGGCACGAAAGCGUGGGGAGCAAACAGG
rnacentral:rRNA from 1 species